rnacentral:rRNA from 1 species
AUUGAACGCUGGCGGCAUGCCUUACACAUGCAAGUCGAACGGCAGCACGGGAGCAAUCCUGGUGGCGAGUGGCGAACGGGUGAGUAAUAUAUCGGAACGUGCCCAGUCGUGGGGAUAACGUAGCGAAAGCUACGCUAAUACCGCAUACGAUCUACGGAUGAAAGCGGGGAUCGCAAGACCUCGCGCGAUUGGAGCGGCCGAUAUCAGAUUAGGUAGUUGGUGAGGUAAAGGCUCACCAAGCCGACGAUCUGUAGCUGGUCUGAGAGGACGACCAGCCACACUGGGACUGAGACACGGCCCAGACUCCUACGGGAGGCAGCAGUGGGAAUUUUGGACAAUGGGCGCAAGCCUGAUCCAGCAAUGCCGCGUGCAGGAUGAAGGCCUUGG